ACCAGUAAUCGCCUCAUCUCUCUCCAUUCGUUUCUUCACCACCGAAAUCAAAAUCCAUGUUCAUCCUCAUCAAUUUCCCCAAUUUCCCCACCUCAAACUUCGAAUAAUCUGUACUUAGUUUCGAAUUUAGGGUUCAGAGUUUUGAUUUGAUUAAAUCACUUCAGAAAUUGUAACCCUAAAUUGGAAUUGGGUGAACAGAUUAUAUCACAUCAGAAGUAUCUCCACAAAUACUUCCAGAUUGGUUUGGUUAUUAAACUCAUCUUCCUCACUUCCGGUAACGUUUGAUUAACUGUUUGUAUUUUUGUAAAUGCCUAAUCGAUGGAACCACCACCACCAACAACAUCGUUCUCCACUUUCUACACCCUAAAUUAACUGUUUGUAUUUUUCUAUUAUCAUACUCUAAAUUAGAAAUUGGGUGUGGAUUGAAUUUGUUGAAACGAUAGGAUUGAGUUGAUUGAAUUGUUUGAAAUGAUAGGAUUGAAUUGGUUGAAAUGAUAGAAUUGGAUUGAUUGAAUUUGUUGGAUUGAAUUGAUGGUAGGAUUUCAUUGAUUUUAGCUUGGGAACAUCUCCUGUUUGUGUAAAUGUCCAAGUGAAUACCAUUGUUCAACUGCAUAACAUCUUCAAUACCAUUGUGGAUGGAUUCAUCGAGUUCUCAUCCACGUCGAAGUCCGAGAGUUGCUGAUCUAGCUCGAGUUCGAGAGUUAACAGACACUGAUACUGAUAAAGAAAGGUGGCUGCGUCGUGCUCAAUAUAGGGCAAAACUAGAUUCAAUUACCGAAGGAGAAAGGAGUGAAAUGAACGAUGUCGUGCUGCUUAUCGCGCAGGAAUUAGUGCAGCAAAUCGCCAACUAGAUGACCAUGAAACCAGUUCAGGUAUACUAGAUUCUAAUUUAGCUGGAGAGAAUAAAACAGAAUCAUUGAUUCCCCGCCGAAGCCCAAGAAUUGAGCUGCAACAAAGGGAGCUUCAGUUACAGAAGCGUCGUAAUGUAAUGAGAGAAAGAAGAAGUUCUACGGCUGAAAAUGAAAAGCAUCAGAUCCUUGAAAAAGCCCGUUCUGCAAUGUAAGAAAGAAGAAAUUUGGUGACUGAAAAUGAAAAACAGCUGAUCCUUGAACAACGCCGUAGAGCUUAUGAAACACGAAGAACAAGAGUAGGUGAUGCAACUAAUAAUGAGCACAUUGCAGGACUAAGUAGUGGUUCGUUUAAAUCUCUAUAUGGGGGAUGCAGUCUAAUUCCAUAGGAAUCUUUAUUCCCCGGUGAUACUCAGGCAAUUGUAUGUCUGUAUUCGUUAUCUUUAGUGUACAAGUUUUGAUGCAAGGGAAAGAAAAGGAGAAGUGUUUCAGCAACUCCAAAAACGAGGCAGAUUAUUUCAUGUGUCCAUGCCUUGGAAAGGUAGCAAGAAUGUUCAGGAAGCCGCUGGUGGUCUUCUAUUCCUCCGGAGAUGGAACAAUUUACAGUUUGCUACAAGUGCUGCUUUCUUAAUGAUAGUCUACGCCGGCUAUUUUACUACUGCUGGGAAGAUUGUUCAGUGGCCUUAGUACAAAUGAGCUUCAUUUUACUACUGCUGGGAAAAUUGUUCAGUGGCCUUAGUACAAAUGAGCUGCAUAAUUCCCCGGUUUGUUUCACUAAAGGUCAUAUUGCCCCUCCAUCUUCUGCUAAGAGGAUCUGCCAGUUUCGAUAAAGGCCCGUCAUCUUCUCAACUAAUACUCUGUGAAAUUGCAUGUGCCGCUUAAGUUACUUCCAUGUGCCCAUAAAUGUGUUCGUAUAAAAAUUAUUGUAAUUUUGGUUUAGUGUCCAUGUAACAUCUUUUGGAAAGAUAAUACAACUUCUUUUGGUUAUUGUGUU